AAACCAUAGCCUUGACUAGACGGCCUUUUGUUGGCAAAGUAAUGCUAUAGAGUAUCAAAUAGUGAGAACUCACACGAAGGAAACCAUUUGAAUAUAAGACCUGACACCACCCAACCACCAGUAGCACCCUGUGCAGGAUGCCUCAUCUAAACAACAAACAAAACAAGAAUAC